CUCGCAUCCCUCGACAGCCAAUCCGUCCGCUCCCCUCUUCCCCUGCCCUCCUCUGCGCCGCCGCCUCCUCCCCUUCCCUCCUCUGCACCGCCUCCUCCUCCCCUGCUCUCCACUGCACCGUCUCCUCCUCCCCUGCUCUCCACUGCACCGCCUCCUCCUCCCCUUCACUUUUCUCUCCCGUGGCGGCGACAACCUACAGGCAAAAGGCGACGGCAAUGUCGCUCAAUUUGAUCUGCAGGAGAGAGAAGGAAGGAGAGGAGGGAGAAAGGAAGAGGAAAGAGAAAAGGGAGGUGCAGCGACGGAUGGGUGAGGGUCACCGGAAGGAGCGCCGCCGGCUCGUCGCCUUUCACACCGAGGUGGAGCAAAUAUGCCUCUGUACAGCCCUCAUGCUAGCAGGGUCCUUGCAAGAAGUGGAAGGUAGAGGUCGUACGCCAGCCGGAGCAGCAGGAGCAAGUAUCUGGCGCCAUCUGCCUCCCCGUUGCACAACACCACUGCAUCUCCUUCCUGUUUUAUUUUUAGUUUUUACAUGUUCAGAUAUAGGUUGGCUUGAUCUCUUGUGUCAGGGAGGUGCGAGGUUAGGCAUUUAGGCAAUGGCAGCCAUAGUUUCAGUGAAGGAUGUCCAUGCCAUGUGCAAUGAAGGAUAGGCCAUCAGCACAACCGUCCUUUGGGUCCUGAUGAAAGUCACUGUCGGUGGCAGGGAAUUCGUCGCCGGAUGCGUCCUAUAUGUGAUGGGUGUGUUCCAUCCAGUCGUUGGUGGGGUUGAUGUGCCCGUCGAUUUGGCGAUCCGCGGGCCAAGCUCAUCUUCUCAGUGGCGGACUGAUGUUCUAUGGUAGUGGCAGUCAUUGUAUGUGGUGGUGCGGUUGCUGAUGUACAGGAGGCGUCCAUGGUGUUAGUUAUCCAUCGUCCAUGCUUAUCUUCUGUAUGCUCUAGCAGCCAGGUGGCUCAAGAAAUAGAAGACGACUCAUGUUCAGCUGGUCCCUCAUCGCCGGGAGGACGGGCGAGGAGGUCGAGGCCCACUGGGGUUCAUGAGGAGGUGUACGGGCGGCAAUCACUACAGCCAUCAUGUGCUACUGCAGGCUUUCCUAGCCUCGUCACAUGAUCAACACGGCGAGCAUCGGCAAAGGGCAGUGCCAAACCAAGUACGCGAGGAUUAAACAUGGCGACGACGACUGUGCAUCAUGGGACGCCUACAGCAUGUGCCUUGCUGAAGUAAACAUGGAGCUCACCCUCUCUACGCCGUGCAUCACAUCUACUUAAUUUGGAGGGUUACACCAGGUGUUUAUAUACUUCGGUCGAUGGUUUCUGUGCCUUGAGGAACAAUCCUAUUAUUGUACUAUGCGUACUGACUAUAUAUGUAUGACGCAUAAAUCCUCACAAGUUGGAACCCAUCACUGCUCCUGCUCGACCGUGACUCCACGCGCAAGGUCCGCCUAGCCACGCGUAGGUCACGCCGCCGGCUGUCGAGCCUCCUGUUCCACCCUGCAGUGUGUUCGAACAGCCGAAGCUGAGUAUGCGAAGAUUCAUCCCUGGCCCAUCCUUGUUCAACGCAUGGAAGCAAUGACUGCUGCUGGCUUUGAAGCUGGUUGAGGUUGCUGCUUGCCGUUGGUUGUAGGUAGAGGCCUUGCGGUGGUCCAAGAUUCUUACAUAGUGUUGUGCCUGGUUUCUUCUUGAAGGAUUUGUUGCGAAAGCUGGGAAUGUUACGAGGAAUCUGCUUUGAGAGGUGUCGUAGUCUCAGAGGAAACGAUUUCUUCUAGGCCAGUGGUGUUCCUUUGCGCUAUAGCCAGUGCGCUAUCUCCUAGGUUAUCUCAUAUAAAGCCAUGAACCUAGCAUGAACUCGAAAUAUAAACCAUUGUAUAUGAAGAUGCUAUCUGAGUACGUAUUUGCAUGUUCGUAGAUCUACUACAGAUGCUUUAUUAUGUAUAAAUAUGCCAUAACCUAUCAUGGAGGAGGUUGACAUCACAGACAAGUUCAUGCUUGAGCUCACUUUCAUUAAGCUGCAGCUCGCGUAACCACUAUUUUUACUACUGCAAAGUUGGACAGAGGUUUGCAGUAACAAUCAAGCUCCGUCCCAGCACGCGGCAUCAACAACAUGAUGUUGAAGCAAUGGCACUAUCCGGAUAUUCAUCUAAUUCCAUCGGUUACCGCAACAACCACCUUUUGUUUCAUAUCUAUCAGACCAGCAUCUUUCCCAUUUUGGACUACUACCAGCAAGAUAUGUAUAGACUUUAGUCCUCCCUUGCAGCCUCUAUGGUGAAAAGUAGUCUAUGAUGUAGUUUACAAUCUUUAGAUUUUAUUGUUGUCUAUAUAGUCAAGAGCGGUUUACCAUCGCUUAUUGUAUAUAUGUGAAGGUCUCCUCUUCUACUGUUGUUUCACAACACUAUGACCGAAGAAAACAACCUUUCCUUUUAUCCAUGCUUUCAUACUAA